GACGAACGCUGGCGGCGUGCCUAAUACAUGCAAGUAGAACGCUGAAGGAGGAGCUUGCUUCUCUGGAUGAGUUGCGAACGGGUGAGUAACGCGUAGGUAACCUGCCUGGUAGCGGGGGAUAACUAUUGGAAACGAUAGCUAAUACCGCAUAAUAGUAGAUGUUGCAUGACAUUUGCUUAAAAGGUGCAAUUGCAUCACUACCAGAUGGACCUGCGUUGUAUUAGCUAGUUGGUGGGGUAACGGCUCACCAAGGCGACGAUACAUAGCCGACCUGAGAGGGUGAUCGGCCACACUGGGACUGGGACACGGCCCAGACUACUACGGGAGGCAGCAGUAGGGAAACUUCGGCAAUGGACGGAAGUCUGACCGAGCAACGCCGCGGGAGUGAAGAAGGGUUUCGGAUCGUAAAGCUCGGUUGUAAGAGAAGAACGAGUGUGAGAGUGGAAAGUUCACACUGUGACGGUAGCUUACCAGAAAGGGACGGCUAACUACGUG
rnacentral:rRNA from 1 species